rnacentral:rRNA from 1 species
GUUCUGAGAGGAAGGUCCCCCACACUGGUACUGAGACACGGACCAGACUCCUACGGGAGGCAGCAGUGAGGAAUAUUGGUCAAUGGGCGAGAGCCUGAACCAGCCAAGUCGCGUGAGGGACGACGGCCCUACGGGUUGUAAACCUCUUUUGCCGGGGGACAAACGGCGGCACGCGUGCCGUCCUGAGGGUACCCGGAGAAAAAGCAUCGGCUAACUCCGUGCCAGCAGCCGCGGUAAUACGGAGGAUGCGAGCGUUAUCCGGAUUUAUUGGGUUUAAAGGGUGCGUAGGCGGGAUGCCAAGUCAGCGGUCAAAUACGGGGGCUCAACCUGCGUCCGCCGUUGAAACUGGCGUUCUUGAGUGGGCGAGAAGUACGCGGAAUGCGUGGUGUAGCGGUGAAAUGCAUAGAUAUCACGCAGAACCCCGAUUGCGAAGGCAGCGUACCGGCGCCCAACUGACGCUGAAGCACGAAAGCGUGGGUAUCGAACAGGAUUAGAUACCCUGGUAGUCCACGCAGUAAACGAUGAACACUAAUUGUCCGGCGGGGUUUGCCGCUGG